rnacentral:sRNA from 1 species
AGUUUUGAUGCAAGUGACUUUUGUAAUUUAACAGAAUUCUAUAAGAUUUUCUGUUUUAAAUAGUACUUUGAGUUUCAAGUGACAGACAUGAAGAUUGCAUAUUUGAGAAUUCAGAUGAGAAACCAGAGACAUUAGAAAACAAAUUGAUAUUAAAGUUGCACAAACUGCUUUUAUAUUCAGUAGAAUGUAUAACCUGGUUUGCAUUUGUUUUCACAUUUUUUUUUAACUGUUACUGCAGCUGGAUAUUGCGUGAUCACCUAUAUACUUGGAGUUGGAGACAGGCACCUGGAUAACCUUUUGCUAACAAAAACAGGUAUUCUAAUCUGAUUUUGAACUUGUUUUCCUUGAUGGUUGAUGCAAACAUUCCAGAUAUUGCACUUGAACCAGAUAAAACUGUGAAAAAGGUUCAGGAUAAAUUCCGUUUAGACCUGUCGGAUGAAGAGGCUGUGCAUUACAUGCAGAGUCUGAUUGAUGAGAGUGUCCAUGCUCUUUUUGCUGCAGUGGUGGAACAGAUUCACAAGUUUGCCCAGUACUGGAGAAAAUGAAACUGGGAUUGACCCAUCAAGAUGCUUGGCUCAAUAAGAAAACCACG